rnacentral:lncRNA from 1 species
AAUGACAUCAAAUUAGAGCAAUUUAUUAUGGAAAAUUCCGAAAGCAAGGAGAGGUGUUGCAUCUCAUCUGGGAGAGAAAUUAAACCCCUACAACACCUAAUCUGCAGAUAUCGAAGAGAAGAGAGGUGUUGGAUACUCCUUGGCAAUGAGGUUAACUCUGGACAUUCAUUAAUAAGUAAGUCUUGGAGUGAAGUCAGAUAUCGCAUCCCCUCAGGUAAAGAGGCUAAUGUCUUACAAUGUUGAACCCGCAGUGAACACAAGGAAGAUAAGCGUUGCAAUCCAUUUACCGGAAGCGAUACAAGGCUGUCACAAAAAUUUAAAUCCAAAGUUUCUAAGGAGCUGAGGUUUUGAAGUCCUGCAGGCAAGCUUUCAAUUGAGCAAGCUUGAAUAUCCAAGUAUUUAAGGCAGGAUAGAUUAUCCAGCAGAUCAGAUGAAGACUUUAGACUACAAUAAAAAACAUUCAACCUAUCAAGUUGCUUUUGAUUUUUUAGUAGUUCAUCCGGUAACUCGUUGAAGUCGCUAAUCCGGAGAGAGGUAAGAACAGUGGCAUUCAUAAUCAAAGAUGUGAGUAAAGUAACAUUAGUUUCUCCAAUAUGUAGCUCUUUUAGAGAUUGAAUCAUUGGCAGUUUAACCAAUUUAGGACAACAAUCGACAGUUAAUGAACUCAGGAGAGGAAAAUGUUCUCUACCAUUCACUGUUGUCCAUUCCUCCAAACAUAGCGCCACACGUAUGCUGAGAACCUCGAGUGAUGGAAAAGAACUUUCCAUAUCACCAUAGAAGGUGUCGUCAAUAUACUUCAGAGCACUAAUUCUACAAAUAUUAAGGACCUUAAGGAAGCGCAAUUUCCCUAGAGGUGGUAGCUGAUGGCAUCUUUCACAGUUUCCUAGUGAGAUUUCAACAUGGUUUGGUAGAAGCAGAUCCAUCAUCCAAUAUGGAAACAUCAAACCUUGGUAACCAAUUAUGCGUAACUUGAAGGUUGAAUGAGGUUGGAGAGCACAAAGAAUCUCUUUAUCAUUUUGAUGAUGAGAGUUACUCGUUGCGAUUUCCUCGCCAAGAUAAGCUAAGUGAUCUUAAUUGUGCUUCUUUAUCAAAUUUGCCUUUUUAGCUUCCAUCGCACUCUUCACGUUGGUUAGUCCUUUGAUGCUCAGUUCCCCCUCUAGGGCCAACUCUUUCAACUCAUCAAUGCCGCAACCAUCUUUCUUUCCCAAAAUGAAUAUGCUAAGCUUGCGCAAAAAAGACAAUUGUCCCAAUGCAACAGGCAUAGAAGUUAGUGUAUGGCAACCUCUGAUGUCCAAGUACCUAAGAUUUUUCAAGUUCUUCGUACCUUUGGGUAACAUUUUAUGACUGCCACAAUCUUUGAGGCUUAGUGUCUGCAAGUUAAGAAGAGAGCUUGUUGAUUCAGGUAAAGUUUUCACAGUAGAAUUGUGAAGGUACAGAUACCUCAAGUGUUUCGAAAUUUUAAAUUCAAUAUUGCUCAUAUAAAAACCCAAAUGCAACACCUUGAGAUACUUUUGUUUACUGAUGAAACGGGAAGGAUUAGAGUGGUUAAAGUAACCAUCGCCGCAUAGGAUCAAAGAUUGCAGCUGCUGCAAUGUGGUUAAGUCCAUAAUGUUUGUCGAUGGACUGAUAUUAUAAUGAUAAACAAACAAGUGAGGAGCAGUUUUUGGAAUUUGUGACAUCUCAUUUGGCUCAAUCACACAGCACUCUUGUCUCAUAAUCGAUGUUGCAAGAUCAUGGAUGAGAUCAUGCAUUUUACAUGCAACAGUUCCAUCAACAUCCUCUUCAAUUUCUUGAAAAAAGGACCUCCAAGUUAAUUCAGAGAAUAUUUCACAACCCAUAUCAUGCAAAUCCAAUGCUCCUCGAGAAGGAAUAAAUCCAUUUGCCAUCCAUAGUGCUAAAAGCUUGUCCUUCGUCAUGACAGAAUCUUUGGGAAAUAUCGAGCAAAAUGAAAAACAUUGUCUCAUAUACGGUGGAAGAUGUUCAUGACUUAGCCUCAACACAGCUAUGAUUCUGCUUCCCUCAUCUUCCAAAUCCCAUAUCUUGACUUCUAAAACGAAAUAUGCUUCCCAUGGCCUUAAUUGCCAACGGUACGCCUCCACAUCUCUGCACUACUUGCCUCCCAAUGGUUUCCAGGUUCGCGUUGCUUCCGUUCGUUCCCAUACCAAAGGAUCUUUGCUUGAAUAAAGACUUAAGAUCGUUGCAUUAGUUAGAUACCUUUUCUAAUAAAUAUCCUAUGGAGUCUUUACUAAUUUUUUCAUAACAUAUAUACCCUAUUCUUACCAUUUACAUGAUCAAUGAAAUCCAAUUCCAAAUAUUGAAAUCCAUGUACCCUACCGUGCUUAAAAGAAUUCGAAAAGUCUAAUAAUAUUAAAAAGGGUUAUAAAAUAAAAAAUUUCAUUAUAAUUUUUCGUAUAAUUUUAUUAAAAGAUUAUUUACGUUCCAAUAAAUAAUUAAAAAAUUGGGACAUAUAUUUGAGUAUGACUCAAUAUGAUAAUACUUGAGUCUAAAAUAAUCUAAAGGAAAAACUACACAUGGUGUGAUUCAAACUCGACACAUCAAAGCCUCAGCACCUCAACCUUUAUCAACGAAGCGACCAAUAACAUGCCUAUGCACAUAUAUAUAUAUAUAAUAGAGUUUAACAAAGUUACGUGUGAUGAGCAUAAGAAGUUAGAAACUAAAAUUAUUUGCCAUCUAUUUAUUCAUACCUGCUCUUAUUGGGGGAUAGAAUUGGUCUGCGAAUUUAAUGCAAUCUUGUCUUUUUUCUUCAAAUUGCAAAAUAGAUCCUCGAAUUUAACAAAAGUUGUCACUCACCAAUCCUGAAAAUGUAUUUAGACAAUCAUAUCAUAAAUUCAUCAAAUGAAAACUAUUAAUAAUAGAUAUGAAUGAAAUGAUCCUGCAGAUGCAGAGAUCCUUAUUCACAAAAAUGUAAAUGUCAAAUCCUUUUUACAUAAUUCUUGAAUAUGAUUCAAAUUAAGAAUUUUCUUAUUUAAAAUUAAAAUUCAAAAGUAGAGAAUCACCUGGUUAGAGAUUUCAAUGGACGGAAUGUGGGCUAUGUUGGGCCAAUCCUCUCCUCUCCCUUUCUUACACCGUCGUUUCAGGUGGGGGCAUCCUCUGAUUCUUAGUUUUUUCAGAGCAUUGAGGUUACGUACCCCUUGGGGCAAUGACAUCAAAUUAGAGCAACUCCUUAUCUCCAAUAAUGAAAGCAGGUUGAGGUGUUGUAUCUCAUCUGGGAGAGAAAUUAAACCUCUACAAGACCAAAUCCGCAGACUUUGAAGAGAAGAGAGGUGUUGGAUACUCCUUGGCAAUGAGGUCAACUCUGGACAUCCAUUAAUAAGUAAGUCUUGGAGUGAAGUCAGAUAUCCCACACCCUCAGAUAAAGAGGCUAAUGUCUUACAAUUUUGAAUCUGUAGUGAAGAUAAGGAAGAUAAGCCUUGCAAUCCAUUUACCGGAAGGGAUACAAGGCUGUCACAACAAUUUAAAAACAAAGUUUUUAAAGAGCUGAGGUUUUGUAGUCCUGCAGGCAAGCUUUCAAUUGAGCAACCUUGAAUAUCCAAGUAUUUAAGGCGGGAUAGAUUAUCCAGCAGAUCGGAUGAAGACUUUAGACUACAAGAAAGAACAUUCAACGAAUCAAGUUGCUUUUGAUUUUGCAGUAGUCCAUCCGGUAACUCGUUGAAGCCACUAAUCACGAGAGAGGUAAGAACAGUGGCAUUCAUAAUCAAAGGUGCGAGUAAAGUAACAUUAGUUCCUCUAAUAUGUAGCUGUUUUAGAGAUUGAAUCAUUGGCAGUUUAACCAACUUAGGACAAGAUUCGAUAGUUAAUGAACUCAGGAGAGGAAAAUGUUCUCUACCAUUCACUGUUGUCCAUUCCUCCAAACAUAGCGCCACACGUAUGCUGAGAACCUCGAGUGAUGGAAAAGAACUUUCCAUAUCACCAUAGAAGGUGUCGUCAAUAUACUUCAGAGCACUAAUUCUACAAAUAUUAAGGACCUUAAGGAAGCGCAAUUUCCCUAGAGGUGGCAGCUGAUGGCAUCUUUCACAGUUUUCUAGUGAGAUUUCAACAAGGUUUGGUAGAAGCAGAUCCAUCAUCCAAUACGGAAACAUCAAACCUUGGUAAUCAAUUAUACGUAACUUCUUCAAGUUUGAAUGAGGUUGGAGAGCACUAAGAAUCUCUUCAUCAUUUUGAUGAUGAGAGCUCUUGUUGCUGCUUAAUCGCCAAGAUAAGCUAAGUGAUCUUAAAUUGUGCUUCUUUAUCAAAUUUGCAUUUCUAGCUUCCAUUGAACUCUUCACGUUGUGAAGUCCUUUGAUGCUCAAUUCCCCCUCUAGGGCCAACCCCUUCAACUCAUCAAUGCCGCAACCAUCUUCCUUUCCCACAAUGAACAUGCUAAGCUUGCGCAAAAAAGACAGUUGUCCCAAUGCAACAGGCAUAGAAGUUAGUGCAUCGCAAUUUCUGAUGUCCAAGUACCUAAGAUUUUUCAAGUUCUUCGUACCUUUGGGUAACAUUUGAAGAUUGUAACAAUCUCCUAGGUUUAGUGUCUGCAAGUUAUGAAGAAAGCUUGUUGAUUCAGGUAAAGUUUUCACAUGAGAACCGUGAAGGCAAAGAUACCUCAAGUGUUUCGAACUUUUAAAUGCAAUAUUGCUACUAUUAAAACCCAUAUCCAACACCUUGAGAUACUUUUGUUUACUGAUGUAACGGGAAAGAUUAGAAAAGUUAAUGUCAUAGCCAUGUAGGAUCAAAGAUUGCAGCGGUUGCAAUGUGGUGAAGUCCAUAACGUUUGUCGAUCGACUGCUAUUAUAAACAAACAAGUGACGAGCAGUUUUUGGAAUCUGUGACCCCUCAGUUGCCUCAAUCACACAGCACUCUUGUCCCAUAAUCGAUGUUGCGAGAUCAUGGAUGAGAUCAUGCAUUUUACAUGUAACAGUUCCAUCAACAUCCUCUUUGAUUUCUUGAAAAAAGGAUCUCCAAGUUAAUUCAGAGAAUAUUUCACAACCCAUAUCAUGCAAAUCCAAUGCUCCUCGAGAAGGUAUAAAUCCAUUUGCCAUCCAUAGUCCUAUAAGCUUAUUCUUUUCCAUGACAAAAGCUUUGGGAAAUAUCGAGCAAAAUGAAAAACAUUGUCUCAUAUACGGUGGAAGAUGGUCAUAACUUAGCCUCAGCACAGCUAAGAUUCUGCUUCCCUUAUCUUCCAAAUCCCAUAUCUCACUAUCUUUGACACGUAACCAUUCACUUUCUUGACUUCUAAAACGCAAUAUGCUCCCUAUGGCCUUAAUUGCCAAUGGUACACCUCCACAUCUCUGUACUAUUCGCCUCCCAAUGGUUUCCAGGUUCGCGUUGCUUCCAUUCAUUCCCAUCCCAAAGGCUCUUUGCUUGAACAAAGACCAAGAAUCAUCAUCCGACAAACAUCCCAAGCGAUAGAAAGGAGUUGUAGCCAUCAUAAGAGCAACAUUCUCGAGUCGAGUAGUGACAAUCACCGUACUUCCUUUCCGUCCACACUGUAAAGCUUGUUUUAAUCUAUCCCACUUGUCAUGGUACUCAUUCCACACAUCAUCUAGUACGAGCAUAAACCGUUUCCCAAGAAGCUUCUCUGCUAAACACCGCUGCAGGGUAUCUAGCUCUUGGAUACCACACGAGUUCCCUCCGAAGGAUUCCACAAUCGCUUUAGUCAACCUUUUUAUAUCAAAAUCAUCAGAUACACACACCCAACCUCUCAAAUCGAAGACUUUCGCCACGUUUUCGUCAUUGAAAACCAAUUGAGCGAUUGUUGUCUUACCAAGACCCCCCAUUCCGCAUAUUGCAUAAACAGAGAGGUCAUCAUGGUGACUCUCAUUACAAAGUAACAUACUAACUAUCUUUUCCUUCUCAUCAGCUCUGCCAAGUACUUCCGAUUCUUUCACAAGGGAGCUGGUUUGCCUAUCCUCAUUCCGUUCAAUUUCAGCUUCUCCCACACCCUCUCUCAAGUGGAACUUACUUUUCUCCCCAGCAAUGGCAUCUAAUUUCUCCCUUACAUUCUUAAACUUACGUGCCACAUCUAAGCGAAACGAGAGCGGAUUCCGCAAAGAAAAGAAGGUGGUUACCUGGCUUCUUGCAUCCGUAUGCAGGCUACGACUUAGAGCUUCGGUGUUGAAAUCUUCGAGCACAGCUUCCAGAUCGUAAGCUGCUUGUUUGAGCUUCACAAGCCAGUUCUUGAUAGCUUCACUCUUCCAUUGCUUCUCCUCUGCAUCUUGGAGCACAGCUUGGAUUGUAGUAAGCGUACUUUCAAGACUCGCAACUUCUGUUUUGAGGCUCCCAGCAAGUUCCAGUUCUUUCAAGGACCACGACUUCAAGCCGUCCAAGAUGGUACCGACAAGGGGUGAAAGUAAUACCUCUGUCAUGUCCUAUCUCUCUUAAAAUUUCACAACCAGCAAAGGAGCAAUUGGUAACUAAGGAACCAACUAUGGAUAUUCAAAGACAAAGAAAGAAACAAUUUCACAUAAAUUGGGAUCAGCCUGAAAGAGUAAACAAAGAAAAGCUACUGUUUCCAGUUAGGGUUAGAAUGGGUUGGAUUGACUUGAGCUUGCAUGCAUAAUUGCAUAUGAACCAAACUUUUGACUAUGGCAAUAAAGUAUGUGGAAAAAAAUGAAAGGAAGUAGGAACCAUUGCAAAUAAUGCAUAUGCGUGUAGGACCAAGUGUCAAGAAUAAUAAAAUCCAUUAAAAGAUAUAAGAUGGUGAAUGCAAUUGCCAACAAAGUACAACAUUUAAUAUUAAGUUGAUAAGUUCAAUGAUAGAGCAAAUUAAAAUAUUUUUCAUAUUUUAUUAUUUUUAAAAUUUUAAAUAUAAAUUUUUAUGAUUUUUAAAGGGUUAAAAGGGUAAGCUUAUUUUUAAAAGGACUAAAUUGUAAAUUUCAAGGUGCUUAUUUUACGGUCAAAUUUGCUUCUGAAUAUUAUCUUGGAUUUUAUAAAUAAAUCUUGUAAAAUUUUAUUAAUAUCUAUCAAUGGAAUGAUCAGCAAAGAGACGAAUAUUCACUAAAAAGUACAACUUUUAUAAAAGCUUAUCUUGUGUUGAUUUUAACUCAAAAUAUAGGGUCAAUUCUUUCAAUUUAUUAAAAUUUGAGAUUUAAUCUAGUUUAAAAAGUUAUUAUUUUUACUUUUUAAAUUAAAAAAUUAAUUUAAUGAUGGAUACAAUUAUUAUUUUUCAUUAAAUAUCAUAUCUUAUUUCAUAAAAAUAACAUAAUCAACAUAAUAAAAUUCUAAGUUUUGGGAAAAAAAUAGUUGCCUUUCUUGUUCGAUAAUAUGUUUGUGUUAAGCUAAUUUAGAAGAAAAAUAAAUAAAAUCCAAAGACAAGCUUAGAAGUAUGAUUAGCAAUUGCCGUAUAAUGCUUUGAAAUUUUUGGUUGAGGAGUAUCUUCAAGGGAACCCAUUAUGGUUGCAGUACAUAAAAGUUCCAUUGGUGACGUUGGGGUAUGAAACGAGUUACGAUAUAUUCGUGAAAGCUCAUGCAGGUGGGAUUUCAGGAUAGGCACAAGUAAUCACACUCGGCAUUGGUCGUGCAUUGCUGAAGGUGAGUGCCGAUCGUAGGAGCCCAUUGAAGAAAGAAGGGCUUUUGACCAGAGAUUCGAGGGUGGUGGAGAGGAAGAAAGUUGGUCUCAAGAAGGCUCGUAAAGCUCCACAAUUUUCCAAACGUUAAGUGGAUGGAAAACUGGGGAUAUAUAUACAUUGCUUUCAUGGUUGGUUUGUAGAAAAUCUUUUCUUCUCACUAACAUUUGUUGAUGAAUUUUUUUUACAAAAUUCUAAAUUGUAGAAGAACCCCUUUUGAUAAUACAGAUCUUGUUCUUGAUUGGUUGUGCUUAUGAACAUUUCUCUUGCAUUUCAUGUGAGGAAUGUUGAUCCUCAGUCUAUUGUUACUUAAUGGGUAAAAGUAUGAUUGUGGCAUAUUAUCAAUAAGUAAAUUGAUUUUCUUUUUAUUAAAAAUUUAUUCGUUUCAACUGUCGAGUCAAAUUUUAUCAUUAAGUGCAUUUAAAAUAACUUCACCUACAUGAAAUUUGUGUAAUGCAAUUGACAAAACAAUACUAUCCAAAGGGCCAUUAAUUAAGAUUCACAUAUAAUGAAACUUAAGCCUAAAACAAUCUAAAAAGGAAAUCAAAACCCCAACAGCUCAACCUUUGUCAACAAAACCACCACCAACAUGCUUAUGCACAGAUACAUAAUAGAGUUCAACAAAGUUAUGUGUGAUGACCAUAAAAAGUUAGAAGCUAUAAUUAUUUGCCAUCUAUUUAUUCUUACCUACUCUUAUGGGGGAUAGAAGUGGUUUAUGAACUUAAUGCAAUGUUUCUUUUUCUUUUUGAAAUCGCAGAAUAGAUCAUAGAAUUUAACAAAAUUCCUCACUCACCAAUGUUGCUUUGUUUGAAAAUGUAUUUAGAUAAUUAUAUCCCAGAUUCAUCAAAUGAAAACUAUUAAUAAUAUAUAUGAAUGGAUGAUAAGUUGAUAACCGCAGAUGUAAAGAUCCUUAUUCACAAAAAUGUAAUGCUCAAAUCCUUUUUACAUAACUCUUGAAUGUGAUUCAAACUAAGAAUAUUCUUAUUUAAAAGUAAAAUUCAAAAGUAGAGAAUCACCUAGUUAAGGAUUUCAAUGAAUGGAAUGUGGGCUAUGUUGGGCCAAUCUUCUCCUCUCACUUUCUUACAUCGUCUUUGCAGAUGGGGGCAUCCAUAGAUCCUUAGCGCUUGUAGCGUAGUGAGGUUAUGAACCCCUUGGGGCAAUGACAUCAAAUUAGAGCAAUUUAUUAUGGAAAAUUCCGAAAGCAAGGAGAGGUGUUGCAUCUCAUCUGGGAGAGAAAUUAAACCCCUACAACACCUAAUCUGCAGAUAUCGAAGAGAAGAGAGGUGUUGGAUACUCCUUGGCAAUGAGGUUAACUCUGGACAUUCAUUAAUAAGUAAGUCUUGGAGUGAAGUCAGAUAUCGCAGUCCCUAAGAUAAAGAGGCUUAUGUCUUACAAUGUUGAACCCGCAGUGAACACAAGGAAGAUAAGCGUUGCAAUCCAUUUACCGGAAGCGAUACAAGGCUGUCACAAAAAUUUAAAUCCAAAGUUUCUAAGGAGCUGAGGUUUUGAAGUCCUGCAGGCAAGCUUUCAAUUGAGCAAGCUUGAAUAUCCAAGUAUUUAAGGCAGGAUAGAUUAUCCAGCAGAUCAGAUGAAGACUUUAGACUACAAUAAAAAACAUUCAACCUAUCAAGUUGCUUUUGAUUUUUUAGUAGUUCAUCCGGUAACUCGUUGAAGUCGCUAAUCCGGAGAGAGGUAAGAACAGUGGCAUUCAUAAUCAAAGAUGUGAGUAAAGUAACAUUAGUUUCUCCAAUAUGUAGCUCUUUUAGAGAUUGAAUCAUUGGCAGUUUAACCAAUUUAGGACAACAAUCGACAGUUAAUGAAGUCAGGAGAGGAAAAUGUUCUCUACCAUUCACUGUUGUCCAUUCCUCCAAACAUAGCGCCACACGUAUGCUGAGAACCUCGAGUGAUGGAAAAGAACUUUCCAUAUCACCAUAGAAGGUGUCGUCAAUAUACUUCAGAGCACUAAUUCUACAAAUAUUAAGGACCUUAAGGAAGCGCAAUUUCCUUAGAGGUGGUAGCUGAUGGCAUCUUUCACAGUUUGCUAGUGAGAUUUCAACAAGGUUUGGUAGAAGCAGAUCCAUCAUCCAAUACGGAAACAUCAAACCUUGGUAACCAAUUAUGCGUAACUUCUUCAAGGUUGAAUGAGGUUAGAGAGCACAAAAGAACCUCUUCAUCAUUUUGAUGAUGAGAGUUCUCGUUGCGAUUUCCUUGCCAAGAUAAGCUAAGUGAUCUUAAAUUGUGCUUCUUUAUCAAAUUUGCCAUUUUAGCUUCCAUCGCACUCUUCACGUUGGUUAGUCCUUUGAUGCUCAGUUCCCCCUCUAGGGCCAACUCUUUCAACUCAUCAAUGCCGCAACCAUCUUUCUUUCCCAAAAUGAAUAUGCUAAGCUUGCGCAAAAAAGACAAUUGUCCCAAUGCAACAGGCAUAGAAGUUAGUGUAUGGCAACCUCUGAUGUCCAAAUACCUAAGAUUUUUCAAGUUCUUCGUACCUUUGGGUAACAUUUUAAGACUGCCACAAUCUUUGAGGCUUAGUGUCUGCAAGUUAAGAAGAGAGCUUGUUGAUUCAGGUAAAGUUUUCACAGUAGAAUUGUGAAGGUACAGAUACCUCAAUUGUUUCGAAAUUUUAAAUUCAAUAUUGCUCAUAUAAAAACCCAAAUGCAACACCUUGAGAUACUUUUGUUUACUGAUGAAACGUGAAGGAUUAGAGUGGUUAAAGUAACCAUCGCCGCAUAGGAUCAAAGAUUGCAGCGGUUGCAAUGUGGUUAAGUCCAUAAUGUUUGUCGAUGGACUGAUAUUAUAAUUAUAAACAAACAAGUGAGGAGCAGUUUUUGGAAUUUGUGACACCUCAUUUGGCUCAAUCACACAGCACUCGUCUCAUAAUCGAUGUUGCAAGACCAUGGAUGAGAUCAUGCAUUUUACAUGUAACAGUUCCAUCAACAUCCUCUUCAAUUUCUUGAAAAAAGGAAUAAAUCCAUUUGCCAUCCAUAGUGCUAAAAGCUUGUCCUUUGUCAUGACAGAAUCUUUGGGAAAUAUCGAGCAAAAUGAAAAACAUUGUCUCAUAUACGGUGGAAGAUGUUCAUGACUUAGCCUCAACACAGCUAUGAUUCUGCUUCCCUCAUCUUCCAAAUCCCAUAUCUCACUAUCUUUGACAUGUAACCAUUCACUUUCUUGACUUCUAAAACGCAAUAUGCUUCCUAUGGCCUUAACUGCCAACGGUACCACUCCACAUCUCUGCACUAAUUGCCUCCCAGUGGUUUCCAGGUUCGCGUUGCUUCCAUUCAUUCCCAUCCCAAAGGCUCUUUGCUUGAAUAAAGACCAAGAAUCAUCAUCAGACAAACAUCCCAAGCGAUAGAAAGGAGUUGUAGCCAUCAUAAGAGCAGCUUUCUCGAGUCGAGUAGUGACAAUCACCGUACUUCCUACCGUGCAUAAAAGAAUUCGAGAAGUCUAAUAAUAUUAAAAAGGGUGAUAAAAUAAAAAAUGUCAUUAUAAUUUUUCGUAUAAUUUUAUUAAAAUAUUAUUUACGUUCCAAUAAAUAAUUCGAAAAUUGGGACAUAUAUUUGAGUAUGACUCAAUAUGAUAAUACUUAAGUCUAAAAUAAUCUAAAGAAAAAACUACACAUGGUGUGAUUCAAACUCGACACAUCAAAGCCUCAGCACCUCAACCUUUAUCAACGAAGCGACCAAUAACAUGCCUAUGCACAUAUAUAUAUAUAAUAGAGUUUAACAAAGUUACGUGUGAUGAGCAUAAGAAGUUAGAAACUAAAAUUAUUUGCCAUCUAUUUAUUCAUACCUGCUCUUAUUGGGGGAUAGAAUUGGUCUGCGAAUUUAAUGCAAUGUUGUCUUUUUUCUUCAAAUUGCAAAAUAGAUCCUCGAAUUUAACAAAAGUUGUCACUCACCAAUCCUGAAAAUGUAUUUAGACAAUCAUAUCAUAAAUUCAUCAAAUGAAAACUAUUAAUAAUAGAUAUGAAUGAAAUGAUCCUGCAGAUGCAGAGAUCCUUAUUCACAAAAAUGUAAAUGUCAAAUCCUUUUUACAUAAUUCUUGAAUAUGAUUAAAAUUAAGAAUAUUCUUAUUUAAAAUUAAAUUUCAAAAGUAGAGAAUCACCUGGUUAAAGAUGUCAUUGGACGGAAUGUGGACUAUGUUGGGCCAAUCCUCUCCUCUCACUUUCUUACACCGUCUUUCAGGUGGGGGCAUCCUCUGAUUCUUAGUGUUUCCAGAGCAUUGAGGUUACGUACCCCUUGGGGCAAUGACAUCAAAUUAGAGCAACCAUUUAUAUCCAAUAAUGAAAGCAAGGUGAGGUGUUGUAUCUCAUCUGGGAGAGAAAUUAAACCUCUACAAUUCCAAAUCCGCAGGUAUCGAAGAGAAGAGAGGUGCUGAAUACUCCUUGGCAAUGAGGUUAACCUUGGACAUCCAUUAAUAAAUAAGUCUUGGAGAGAAGUCAGAUAUUGCAGCCCCUCAGAUAAAGAGGCUAAUGAAUUACCACUUAGAAUAUACAGUGAAGACAAGGAACAUAAGCCUUGCAAUCCAUUUACCGGAAGGGAUACAAGGCUGUCACAAUCUAAAUCCAAAGAUUUUAAAGAGCUGAGGUUUUGUAGACCCGCAGGCAAGCUUUCAAUUGAGCAACCUUGAAUAUUCAAGUAUUUA